CCCAAUUCCAGGGAGGGAACGUAAAAGGGGGGAAAUAUUCACCUCGUCUUUAAUAAAAUUUAGAUUAUUCCCUCACCAAGGCUAGAAUAAUCCCUAAUUUUAUGGCAGGACAGGAGGCUUCAUAUUUGAAAUUUUAACGCCCAAAUAUUAAAACCAGAAGCAAUAUGAGAUAGAGGACAAAAAUAAAAGGAAGACAGAAAACCGAUUCCCUAGACCAAGCAGCGGUGCAGAGAAAGUCCAGAAGGGUCCCAAUGGCUUCCAAAGUGGCAGUACCCCAAACCAAAUGUGUCCCAAAG